rnacentral:rRNA from 1 species
UAGGGAAUCUUCGGCAAUGGGGGGAACCAUGACCGAGCAACGCCGCGUGAGUGAAGAAGGUUUUCGGAUCGUAAAGCUCUGUUGUUAAGGAAGAACGAGUGUGAGAAUGGAAAGUUCAUGCUGUGACGGUACUUAACCAGAAAGGGACGGCUAACUACGUGCCAGCAGCCGCGGUAAUACGUAGGUCCCGAGCGUUGUCCGGAUUUAUUGGGCGUAAAGCGAGCGCAGGCGGUUAGAAAAGUCUGAAGUGAAAGGCAGUGGCUCAACCAUUGUAGGCUUUGGAAACUGUUUAACUUGAGUGCAGAAGGGGAGAGUGGAAUUCCAUGUGUAGCGGUGAAAUGCGUAGAUAUAUGGAGGAACACCGGUGGCGAAAGCGGCUUUUUGGCCUGCAACUGACACUGAGGCGCGAAAGCGUGGGGAGCAAACAGG